rnacentral:lncRNA from 1 species
GGGAAACAUGCAAUAAUUGUCCACGUUAAUAAAAUGGUCAACACAUACGCACUGCACUGUACUGAUAACUGAAAUUCGCACGGUGGCAUACCAAGGACUUUAAUGUCCUGGACCCAUUGAGCGGGCCCCUGGCGAAUAGGUUGCAACCCUAACUGUAACAUGAAAUCGCAUUGUGGCAUACCAAGGACGGUGAAGUCCUGGACCCAUUGAGCGGGCCCCUAGCGAUAUAACUGAAUUUACAACACAUAUGGCAAACACAUACUAUUAAAAUGGACAACAAUUAACCACGGCAUGUACUGAAAUAAAUCCCACACCUGUAACUUGAACUUUGAAAUUGACUGCGAGAAUU